GUGACAAGGGGCGAGAGGGGAGAUGAACCGAACGAGAUGGUCUUACUUAUUUAACUUUCAGUAGCAGUAACGGAGAAAGGUCUAUUAAUGCUUGUCCAUGUCAGUUUCAUUUUCAUCAAAAAACUACUACUACUAAAACUACUUUUUACUAAAAUAAAUAUGCCCUCACAAGUAGGUAUUUCUAAAAAAAAAAAGGGUACGGUGACAGAUGUCAACUCCAUACAAUUUAUAACCUUAAAAGGCAAAAGCUCCCAAAAUUGUAUUCACACCUGUCACCGUACCUUCAUGAUUGAAAAAUACUAUAAACGGAUCAUCACUAUUUUUGUUACACCUUAUCUAAUACAUUUACCUAUACUUCCUUUGGGACACCGGACCGAAACCAUUCAUAUAAAAUAAACCAUUUACAUUGUGCCUUGCGCCUCUUCCCCGCACGACGCUAUCGAUGCUAGUCCUAAGUUAAGAAUAUGUAAACAAUGGCAGAUCUAGCUUUAUUGUGACCCCCAUAACCUUGUAUAAAUAUGGACGGGGCAAUCAGUUUUCGGUAAUAGACGAACUCUGAUCGGGGAGGAUGUCGUAACUGGUUCUCUAUUCGUGCCAUUUAAUACUAAGGUAAGUCAGUAAAUAAAUAUUAACCAGAAAAAUAUUGCAAACACUCUAUAUAGCGCUCCUAGCAACAAUAUUCAUCGACCAAAGGCUAUCAGAUCGAAAUGGAUGAACGACAAGGAUCAUCAAUUAAUCAUCCAAAUUGGAUUGAAAUCAUGAGGCAAGACGCAUAUGAAGACACUGAUGGCUCUAUAACACCCAAUUCCAACGUUCUUGAGAACCAAGAACCAAACGGAUGUUCAAAUCUUCCUAAUUGGUUGAGAAUUAUUGGACAAGACGAUAAUGAAGAUGUUAAUCCAUAUAUAACGUCUCCCAAUGAAGAAAUAAUUCAGUAUACAUGCGUGAAAAAUACUGUCAUCAAAAUCAUAAUGCUCAUGAAGCUAAUUCGGGAAACGGUGAGCAUCAUGUCAAUAAAUAUAUUGCUAGAAAAAUAACUAAACGGAUAAGAGAUCUUUUGAAUAAAUGUGACGAAGUUCAACGAGAUAUGAAGAAUUCUACGAAGAACUUAAACGAUAUUACAAUAGAAAUCGAAAAUGUGGUAAUGUUUAUGAUAAAAAUAUAUUCAGUGUUAGAUUUGAUGUAGGUAAAUAUUUAAUUAAUAUGUUUAAGAAGCAAAGUUUUUUUUUUUUUUUUGCUUCAUCCUUAUCCUUAUCUCGAUAAGUAUUUUUUUAUAUACCUACUUACUACAACCUCUAUGCUACCUCUUUAAUGCUUUCAUUCACCCCUUUAGAAAAUACUUAUGCCUGUUUAGUAUUAUAGGUACCUCAACUGGUCAAAGAACCUGGUACGAGUAGAGAUCUCUUAAAGGGCUAAGUUUACUUUUGUACGAAUGUGGUGUUAUUAGUGUAUUUCUUGUAUUUUACAAUAAAGUACUUUAUUAACUUA